CGCACACACACACGCACACGCACGUACCUGCACUAAAACAAAGAAUCUCUUCUUCCAUCGCUUCCACACAUUUUUGCCGAUGGUCCAGAGGUGGAUUAUGGGUCCUUUCAGUUGCGGUUGAGUGGCGUUCAGGGUCUCUGCAGUAUCUGGAUGGAGGAACUCAUGAGGCGUUUGACUGUAAGACUAGCCCUGAUGCAGACACGCAGACAAAUACAGCCCACACGUCCAAAACUGGGAAAGGUUUUCUGUUCAACGCUCUUUAUCUUCCAGUGCGAGCACUCCAGUACUCUCAGUGAAGAGCUUCACCUUGACAACAGGAAGAGGGAUCAUUACUUGGGCUUCGGCAGCCAGCAAUAAGGAUAAGGUGCCUCUCCAGGUGCUGAUAAUAGUUACUGUAAGAUGAACGGAGACUCAUGAAGAUAUUUCAUUCCACCAUCCUCCCUCAGGCGGCCGUGAGUCUGUUUCCAGACAAAACACGAGUUUUCCAAAAUCACGUUUUACGGUGAGAGGUACUCCACGGUGAGAGGUACUCCCACUGUGUGGUGUUUAGUGUUCAGAGAACAUUAAACACUCCCACUGUGUGGUGACAUCAUCCAGCAAAUGGCAACUUGACAAGGUCUAGUUACCCUUUGUCAUGGAACGCUCCUCCCCCGACGAGUCACGUGGUACA